rnacentral:rRNA from 1 species
ACGGGAGGCAGCAGUGGGGAAUAUUGCACAAUGGGGGAAACCCUGAUGCAGCGACGCCGCGUGAGUGAAGAAGUAUUUCGGUAUGUAAAGCUCUAUCAGCAGGAAAGAAAAUGACGGUACCUGACUAAGAAGCCCCGGCUAACUACGUGCCAGCAGCCGCGGUAAUACGUAGGGGGCGAGCGUUAUCCGGAUUUACUGGGUGUAAAGGGAGCGUAGACGGCUUUGCAAGUCUGAAGUGAAAGCCCGGGGCUCAACCCCGGAACUGCUUUGGAAACUGUAGAGCUAGAGUGCAGGAGAGGUAAGUGGAAUUCCUAGUGUAGCGGUGAAAUGCGUAGAUAUCAGGAGGAACACCGGUGGCGAAGGCGGCCUGCUGGACAGAAACUGACGCUGAGGCUCGAAAGCGUGGGGAGCAAACAGGAUUAGAUACCCUGGUA